GAAUAUGGUUGUUUUGAAGCAAUAUAUGAUAAAAUUCCAAAUGAAAUUAGAGAAGGUAUUUUUGGUAUUUCAAAAGAAAUAUUUGAAUUUCCUUUAGAGACCAAAGUGAAAAAUUAUUCAGAAAUACCAUUACAUGGCUAUUUAGGAAUGAUUCCACACUUGCCAUUUUAUGGGAGUUUGUGUAUUCCUGAUUUGCUUAAUCCUCAAAAUGUUGAAACUUUUGCUAAUAUCUUUUGGCCUCAUGGUAAUCCUGAUUUCUGCAAUUUGGUAAAAGCUUACUCAAAUCCACUUAUGGAAUUGGAUGAAUUGUUGAAAAGGAUGAUUUUGGAGAAUUUGGGAUUAGAAAAUCAUAUUGAUGAAUUGUUG